rnacentral:rRNA from 1 species
UACGUAGGGGGCAAGCGUUGUCCGGAAUUAUUGGGCGUAAAGCGCGCGCAGGCGGCUGAUUAAGUCUGGUGUUUAAUCCUGGGGCUCAACCCCGGGUCGCACUGGAAACUGGUCGGCUUGAGUACAGAAGAGGAAAGUGGAAUUCCACGUGUAGCGGUGAAAUGCGUAGAGAUGUGGAGGAACACCAGUGGCGAAGGCGACUCUUUGGCCUGUAACUGACGCUGAGGCGCGAAAGCGUGGGGAGCAAACAGG